rnacentral:lncRNA from 1 species
AGCACAGAUGGCACGUGGACACGAAGACGCAGCAGGGACGGGACUGUGCUCUGGCAAAGCUGUGCUUGGACUCUGGAGCCAUUACCUGGAGUGGAAUCACCUCUGGCACCGCUGGGUCCACAGGAGCCCGGGCAGCCGGGAACAACCCUGGGGACGGGCAGGCAGACUCCGUCCAGCUACCCGGGAAGAGGCACAGGCAGCCGGAAGCAAACCCUGGGGUGGGCAGGCAGGGUUCCGUCCAGCUGCCCAGGAAGAGGCACAGGACAGAGGCAGCUCCCUAAGCUUUCCUGAGGACUUUGUGUUUUCUAAGAACUUGAAACACUACAGACUGAGUUUUUAAGAGAAUAAAGUACGUGGAAGAGACUGACAAGUCUGCGGAAGGCUCCCAGACUCCCAGAUGGCGUCUAAGCAUUGGCACCCUGCUGAAAGGAUCUUUUGAUCUACUCUCAACGUGCUGGAGCCUCAGGGUCUGCUGGAUCCCCGGCUUUUUUCAGCUUUGAUCGGUGCAGCUUUGCCCUUCCUGGGGCCUGGGUAGGGGCUGCCUAGGGGCCCGCUGGUGAGGAUUCCACCUCCAUCAGUGAUGUCUGCCCAUGCCCUGUCUGCCUGCCAGGCUAGACCCACUCCUAGGGAAGUGCUCUGUGGCCCGAGUUCCUACGCAGGCCCAGGGUCCGGAGGGAGCUCUGGGGAGAUUAGAAAUGGGGCUGGCUGGGCAUAGUGGUUCCUGCCUAGAAUCCCAGCACUCUGAGAGGCCAAAGCAGGAGGAACCACUUGAGCCCUGGAGUUCAAGACCAGCCUGGGCAGCAAAGUGUACCCGUCUCUACAAAAAAAAAAAAAAAAAAAAAUAGGCAGGUGUGGGAGAGUGAUGCAUGCCUGUGGUCCCAGUUCCAUGGGGGGCUGAAGUGGGAGGAUCGCUUGAACCCAGGAGGUCGAGGCAGUAGUGAGCUGUGUUCUCACCACUGCACUCCAGCCUGGGUGACAGAGUAAGACCCUGUCUCAAAAAAAAAAAAAAAAAAAAAAAAGUGGGUUCCCAGAGAAGGGUCCUAGAUCUGGCCCAGACCACAGCCGAGGGCAGCGCAGCCGCGUGGUUCUCACUCCUGCCCCGAAUCACAGCCGAUUCUCAUCAAAAAGUCAGUGGCAAAGGCACAUCGCUUGCCUGGACCCCACGGGGAGCUGCAGGGGUAGGAAGCCCUCCACUGGUGCAGGCCUGUUCUCUAACCUGCAUUUUUCUCUUCUUGUCUCCCAAAACAGUGGGACCAGGUGGAGCGUGCUGAACCAUCCACACUGGGUGGCUCUGAGGACGCUGGGGCUGGGGCUGCAAAUGCUGUGUCCAAUCUCAGCCUGACGGGGGCAGGGGGUCGGCGGGGAUGGGGAGAGCUCAUGCCAAAUCCCAGGCUGGCUGGGACANNNNNNNNNNGCGGGGAUGGGGAGAGCGCAGGCCAGAGCCCAAGGCUGGCUGGGACAGCAGGCCCACAAGGAGGGGCUGGGCGUCCCUAUUUCCCCCACCCUGGCCCCCACCCCCCGGCUGUCUGGGAAAGACGCGCCCAGGAGGCCGGCGGGGAGCUCGCUGUGCUGAGUGGGGGCCUAACUGAGCCAAUAGAAUAUGACAAAGUUUGUAGCCCAAGGCCACUGCAAGGUCACCACACGGAAGCCACAGACAUUGGUCCCUGCCGGAGGACACGUGCCAGGCCCCACCUCCUGCAGGACAUGGCCCUGGGCAGCGAUUGCCACGAACUACCCAAUGACACCACCAGCACCUCUCCAGCCAGCAAAGGAAAGUCACCAGACGUGUCCAAGAGCGGAGGACCCUGAGGAGGGCCUGCGUCAUGUGUGGGGGAGCUGUUGGGCGGGCAGGGCGCUGGCCUCAGAAUGCAGAGGCCUGGGCUCUGUCUCCUCACAGAGAGCCUCCCCUCAGAGGCCCCUAAGCAAGGCCGCAGGGGAGACCGGUGGCUUUUCUAAUUUUUAAAUUGUAUUAUUAUUUUGAGACAGGGUCUUGCUCUGUCUUCCGGGCUGGAAUGCAGUGGUGCAAUUGUAGCUCACUGCAACCUCCACCUCUGGGCUCAAUCAAUCCUCCCACCUCAGCCUCCUGAGAAGCUGGGACUACAGAUGCAUGCCACCAUGCCUGGCUAAUUUUUAACUUUUUUUUUUGUCAAGAUGGGGGUCUCCCUAGGUUGCCCAGGCUGAUCUCGAACCCCUGGGCUCAAGAGAUCCUCUCGCCUCAGCCUCCCUAAGUGCUGGGAUUACAGGUGUGGGCCACGGCGCUCGGCCAAGCGGCAGCUUCACCAAUGACUUGAAUGUGAAACAGAAGGAUUCCGAGAAGAAACGGAGCCGUCACAAAUGCAUUUCAACCAGUUGGGUGACUCCAGACCCAGAGCCGGGCGGACAGCACCUGUUCUCUGUCUUCUCGCGUCAGCUGUUUCUUCGUGUCUUCGGAAGAAUUUGUGCCGAAAAUCAACAACAGAAAGGCAGUGAAAGAAGACAGAUCCAUGAUCUGCCUGUGGCCUGGCUGCCCGUGGGCCAGGUGCCUGCUGUGUCCACCAGGGAGACACAGGGACCAACGUCCUUUGUGAAGGAUGCAGGGCCUAUGGGCCAGGAUGCCUGCUGUGACCACCAGGGAGACACAGGGACCAACGUCCUUUGUGAAGGAUGCAGGCACUGGCUUUGCAGAGCCGCCCUCCUAGCAACUUGGGGAUGGAAGGGUGGUGGGAAGCAGGACCCACCCAGACACAGGUGUAGGCGAUUGGAAGGUGUGGGCAAGGGCCCCCUAUGAGGGCAGAGGGCCUGCUCCUGGACACCCUGGCACAUCCCAAAUAUACACCAGGCACCAGGGGAGUGGCCCACUCAACCCGUGAGGAAAUGGACUCAGACCCGGACUCCAGAGUCCCACUGGAAUUGGACCCAUAAUGGCCCUGUGGUCCCCGGAGUGAGCGUCAGCUCAAACCUGGACCCAGCAGCCCUCCAGGUCUGCAGAUCCACCCUAGGGAUGGAGCCAGUGUCUUGGGUCCACGUUGUGGGGCUUUGGGGACAGAAGAGACAAGGUCAGACUAACAGCACAGCCCGGUCCCCAGUGGGCCCAACACCUGGCUCCAGUGCCUAUGGAGCUCCCCAGGGUUCUCCCCAGGACCCUGACUUCCAGUCCCCACAAGGCUGUCAGCCCCAAAGGCACACACACCUGAAGGAGCCCAACCUGGCGCUGCGAGUCAGGCGGGAAAGGCCCGGGCUGCAGCUGCUUGCCGGGGUCACCCUUUGACUAUAAUUGAAGCGCCCAGCAGGGCAGGAGAGGACCACACAGAAGGUCAGGGCCAGAGCCACACCCAGCAGUGAGAGGAGCCCCGGGCACAGCCAGCCAGAGCCCACAAGCUUCCGGGAGGGGAGAAAGAGACCAUGAACCCAAGGAGGGGACCCAGUAGAGAAGGCCCAGCACCCAGAGCAAGAGGCAGGCUCGGUGGACCCCUGGCCCCGCCAUGCAGCCGGGCCCUCCCCACCCAGGCUGCGUGACUGAGGCCAGAGGGCCCGUGUAGAACCACUGGAGAGGCCAGUGACCGCACGAGAACGCCAGGCAACUUACUAACUCUAGUCAGGCGGCUCAGAAUCUGGCCACUUCCACAUCGGCGCUGCAAGGAAACACAAGGCUCAGUUGGAGGCAGCAUGGGGUCUGAGGACUCGGGGGUGCAGAGGAGGGGGGACCACGGGCGAGCUGCCAGGAGACCUAGAACCCUGGAGCACUCGGAGUCGGCACACAGCUGGGGCUCUGGCUCUCCCUGGACGGCGCCUGCGGAGCCUGCCUCACUUGCGGGCCUGGAGGGAGCCAGGAGCCUGCCUCAGCUGCAGACGGCCCCCCGCAGAGCCCGGGCAGAGUGAGUGACUGUCACUGGGGCCAGCACCGUGUGCAAGCCCAGGUUAUCUAGCAGAUGACUGAGUGCCGAGAAAAUACCUGGCAGAGGUGGGCACAAGGCGGGGCCCCCACGGCAAAGACGCACGCCGGGAACCGGAAGGAGGUCCAUACCCAACUCGUGCAAUAAAUAAAACUUUUAUUCAAACAAGUAACUGCAGUACAGGGCACAAUUCAGAUUUUUUAAAAAAGGAAAGGAAACAGGAAAAAAAUAUGUUCAGCACUUUACAUCUUCAUACAAGUGUUGCUGUUUUGUGUCUACAUUCAUCCAUUGAGCAUGGAAUCCCCUGGAUUUGAAAUCUUUAGCGGAGCGGGAACGCCGGCGCGGAAGGGUCUCUACACAGGGCCCGGUCCGCCCUUGCGCUCUCCUUAAUGUCACGCGGUCCGCGUCUUAAGCUGCUUCCCACACAAACACUACCAGCCACGUCCCAGCCCACGGGGAGGUGUGCGGGAGGCUUUUACUAAACCACAUCAGAUAAAGGAGCGCCGCAGCUUCCCAGGGGCUCCCACCAGCGGGCAGGCUGAGCCGGGCUGUGCCCUGCACUCAAUUCCCCAGAGUUCAGUGUGGGAAGAGACAAUACCAGUAGCCACUGAGUCCACUGUGUUUGUUUCUAAAGUCACCAAGACACACAAAAAGACGAGAGCGUUUAGGAAGAACCGGGCAGGAACCGCCUGUUUCCCCCAGGUGGGGGGCGUGGGUGCGGCGUGCCCAGAGCUGCCCUCCCCCAGCCGGGCCCGGCCCGCACACCCUGCCCGGAGCAGCCAGGUAGCCCGGGGCAGCAUCGAUGCCCUCACAAGGCUGGUCAAAGGAAUGUGGGGGUGGGGUGGUCUCUGGAGGUCUUUGGAAUGUCCGUGUGCGGCCAGCUGGGCAGCGCCUGCCCCCGACCUUGCUCCCGCCAGUGCCCGACAGGAGGUGAGGCCACCGGGCCGCACUGCUCUAUGUACACCUGGCCCGCAGUGUCCGGAGGGAGAAGCCCUCAGGUGCCCGGGCCCGGCCUCCCUCACAGGAGCAGCCGGCUUCCUCAGGAGGCCCCUCGAGCUUGGCACGAGCCCCCUUUCUCUGUGCACCCCUCCACAGGGGCCGGGGCGGCCAGGGACCCCAGCACCUUCCCUGUCCGGACAGAGGCCAUCGCACCGGGGAAGUCGGAUGCGAGAUAACAGCGCACACCGGAGUCCAUGCAGAUCAGUUUUUGUAUUUCAGGAAAAAAAAAGUCCUUUUUCCGGUUUUUCUUUUUUUUUUUUUUUUUUUUUUUUUUUAAGAUUUUUCUUUUUCUUCAAACUUUAGACCUGGCUCACGGCGAGCCUUAGAAAAGCAGUGAGUGCCACAGACACUGCAGGGUGAGGCCGAGGGUGCCCCGCACGGCCCAGCAGGUCCUGCCUGGCAGUUUCUGCUCAAAAGGCUGGGACACACAGGAUGGGGCGCGUAAACACGGGGGGUGGGGGGGGGGGCGGAUGGAGCAGCACCAUGGACCCUGGGGGAUCACAGAGUCUGGGGUCACCAACCAAAAGGCAAGGGGCAGGUGGAAAAGAAAAACAACCCAAGAACAAACCAGCGAGAGCUGAGGAGGAAAACGGACGAGACCAGGGGAAGGCGCGGAAGCUCUUCAGAGCAGCGGCUGCCUGGGGUCAGCGUCCUCACACUGUGGACACCAGCGUGCCGCUGCCACUGUGAAACAAAGCACAGGACGGCUGCCUGGCUGCACGACGCUGCCCAGCCACAGGCGGCGAGUCCGCCCGCACCGAGCAAUGCCCCUUUCAGCAGCUCCCGUUGGCCUCCUGACCCUCCAGGAAGACCCAGGACAAGGGCGGAGCACAGAUUGGGGCAGAGGAGGCUGCAGCCCCAGCCAUGGAUGCCAGCCUCAGCUACCCUCCCCAACCCUGCCUGACAGGGAUGGAUGGGGCCGGCCAGAUGCGAUGAAAGAGGGGCAGGGCCCGGGGGGUUCCCGUGUCACUCGGAGAAAGCAGGACGCCCUAAGGGACGUCCCCGGCUCUGACAGGGGUGAAGGGCCAGGCUGGGCCCUAAAGGAAGAAGAGGUGGCCCCAGGUCCUAGGAGAGGGCCCUGCCCCACCCGGCCUCUUCACACCCACCCACAGUCCCAAAGACAGGUCUGAAAGUCCCCUUACCUGCUCAUGGACCGCGCUCCAUAGUCAUCCAGGCCCUGGGG